GGGAGGGGGAUCCGCGCGGGAGAAGUUUUCCUUCUGCAACGCCGGAAGUCCCCGAGAUCACCGAUAUGUUGAGCUGCUUAUUAUGGCACUUACAGAACACCUGUCUGUGUCUCCAAGUCAUUUCAAGUAACCAUGACAGCCCCAGUAAUUGAAGCGCCUAUGGCUAAUGCUGAGUUUAUUCAGUUUUCACCAUACGUUAAUGUGGAAGAGUGAACAGUAAACGGUUAAUCGUACGGCGAUCCUGUCUUCAUUGACUAUGGUUUACCUCGGCGUUUAGUUCAGAGUUCUUUUAAACCUGUGCGAUAACACUACAAUUCUUAUUAUGAAUUUAUUGAGUAUGCCCACAAGAAAAUGAAUCUCAAUUGUAUAUGGAAACACAUAUGCACCUUGAUAAUAAAUUUACUUUGAAUAGACAGCAUUUUCUUCCCAGGGCAGAGAGUCCAGAAUUACAGAGCAAAGAACAUAGGUUAAGAUGAGCAAAGAACAUUGAACAACAGUACAGGUCCUUUGGCUCUUGAUAUUCUGCCGACAGUUUUACCUAAUCUAAGGUCAAUUUAAUGCUCCCCUCCCAUAUAACCAUCCAGUUUUCUUUCAUCCGUGUGCAUACCUAAAUCUCUCAAACGGCUCUCCGCCACCACCGCAGGCAGUGUGUUCCACAGACGCUCCAAUCUCUGUGUAAAGAAACCUAGCUCUGAUAUCCCUUUUAUACUCUCCUCUAAUCACCUUAUCUGCUGCCUCAGAUUAGCCAUUUCCGCCUAGGGAAAUAGUUGAUUCUAUCUAUGCCUCUUAUCAUCUUGUACACCACUUUCAGGUCACUUCUUACCCUCCUCCGCUCCAAAGAGAAUAGCCCAAGUUUUUGAAGUGAGAGAGGCAAAUUUUAAGGGAGAUACGAGGAAUAUAUUUUUCUUACAGGGGUAGUGGUUAUCAGGAGCAAGUUGGACCGAAGAGGAAUGUGAGAAAGAACACUUCAGCUGGAGUGUUGAAGGAAUGGUUCAGAUACCAUGAAGAGGCUUGGUCUUUAUGUAAAUUCUGCUUGAAAAGACGUCAUCAAAUAGUGCCUUGCAAGUGUCAUGACAGCAGAUCGUGAGAAUCUCAAUCAUUUAUGAUCUCUCACCUUUCUCAGCACAGCCCAGUAAGCAUCGAGAUGUUUCAUGCAGCAGAUAGGUUCACUUUCUGAAAAGAUUUCUGAACAGCUGAUACAAUCCAGGCAUUAUCUACAGAAGCAUCAAAGAAAUGAAGGAUUACAUGAACGUGUCAUCUUGCAAGAAUGUGCAAGUGGAGGAUAUGAAACUUUUCUCUGUUGAGUUUACUCCUUCAAGUGAAGUGAGCUUAUCCACUGAGAGGAAAAUACCUUCUUGUAACUAACAAGUCAAAUGAAAUUCAGCUGAUUCACCUGGCGGCAGAGCUGAUUUAAUAGCUAGCAUUCCUGAUCCUGAAGGUAGCAAAACAGAUCAAGAGAAUGAUGAUGUUUCCUCACACUCCACUCCUCAAGUGAAAAUAGAAACUGUUACUAGCAUCCAAGGCGGAGCUGACUCAUUCUCAGAGUACUGUGGAAAUGUCUUCCUCAGCCUCCAAAGUGACGACAGCAUUUCCACAGACCACUGCACGAUAAACGGUGAAAAAGACUGCACUUCUUGUACCAUCACUGAAAGAGUGGAAAAGGUGAACAGCACUCAGUGCACAAUCCCAAUGCAGAACCAGGAGAAAGGAGAUAAACUGGCUGCCACAGAGAACUGGUCUGGUAAAUGUAGAAGAUGCUGUACAGGAUUUAUCUAUAGCCUUGCUUUCUUCGGAUUCUUGAUUCUCUCACCAGUCAUAAUGAUUGGAUAUUGUUUGUAUAAAAUAUUCAAGUGUAUACGUAAAUAAAACAACUUCUCUACCACUUAAUGCACUUCUCCUCUUCACAUUGAUACAAAAAUGCAACUUGUGAGCUUGAUAAAAGCUGAGAAAUCCUCCUUAGAUCUUUUGCAUCAAUGAUAGUCAUUAAUAUUUGGAGCCAACUGAAAGCAAUAGGCAGGGUUGGAAUAUUCCAACCAAUAUGGAUGUAUAAUGAGAUCAAUAUUAAAUGUAUUUUUCUCUUGUUAUGAAAAUUGAAUUGUAAUAUCAUUAAUGUAUUGUGGUGAACUACAUAUACCUGUCUGGACACGCCCCCCCGCUGACUGCUCCUGUGGCUCCUCCCAUGGACCCCGGUAUAAAGGUGAUUGGGGACACCGCCCCGGCCUCAGUCUCCAGGAUGUAGUAUGGUGAUCAUUUGCUGCUUGUUCUUUCUUCCAGCCAACAAAAGCCUAUAUCUCGCCUCACGUCUCUGAAAGUUAUUGGUAGUGCAUCAUGUAUCUUUUAAAUCAGCCUUACAGCACUAAAAAUAUGAGAAACAUUUACCUCAAAGAGA